AAGUGCGAAGGGUUGCAAUACAAUUAGAAAGAGAUGAGCCAUGAGAGAGGAGGAGGGUAAGAUGUCUCAUUCUAUUCACAUGGCAGUGGCACACACAAUUCUUCAAGCUUCCAGAUAUGUCAAUUGUGUCUCUAGGUUGUUGUACGGCCUAUCUGUACUACUAGCCCAUCCCCCUCUGUAUGAAAUUUACAAGGCCCUGGAUCUCUGGGAUUGAACCAACCAAAUUCAAUUCAUUUCCAAUCAUGGAGAUUGGUCUGUCCUUCUCUUUCUCUGACACACUGGAUUUAUUUGUUAGAACAGGCUUUCAGGGGAAGGCAUUUACUCAGGGCAGGUAAACAAGACAUUGGUGUCUCUGCGAUAAAGACCAAAAGACAAAUCAACAUAAUGCAAGUAACAGAUUCCGGUCAAUGAUUGGGGUUUAAUUUGUAUAUAUUACUACUUAUUUGAAAAAGAAAUCUGUAUCUCAUACUAAAAAA